UACAGGGGGGGCAAGCGUUGUUCGGAAUUACUGGGCGUAAAGGGCUCGUAGGUGGCCAACUAAGUCAGACGUGAAAUCCCUCAGCUUAACUGGGGAACUGCGUCUGAUACUGGAUGGCUUGAGUUUGGGAGAGGGAUGCGGAAUUCCAGGUGUAGCGGUGAAAUGCGUAGAUAUCUGGAGGAACACCGGUGGCGAAGGCGGCAUCCUGGACCAACACUGACACUGAGGUGCGAAAGCGUGGGGAGCAAACAGG
rnacentral:rRNA from 1 species